ACAGAUACUAUUAUUUGAUGACGUGGAUAAAUGUGGAGCAAGGAUUUUUUCAGACAAUAAUAAUUACAAUCAAGGCAGUCCUUAUAACUGGAAAAAAAAAGAGUUACCGGCAGGAACGCUACCUGCAGACGGAGUUAGGACCCCGUCCCGUGCCGUUUUGUUCCGUCAGGGGCCGCUCGGUCGCCGUCAACACCGACCCGGGGCAAACCUGGAAUAUGCGAAAAUAUCUGCAACGUCCCGAUCACCAGGUGGUGGUGGUGGUGGGGGCCCCACCCCUUCCUCAUGCAGGGCAGCAGGCGCGGCGCCCGUUUCCCCCCCGGCGCGCAGCCCCCUUUUCCCCACCCACCAGAGG
rnacentral:misc_RNA from 1 species